AAUCCUGACACAGGGAGGUAGUGACAAGAAAUAACGGGUCGGGGCAUUUGCCUCGGGAUUGCAAUGAAUCGAAUUUACACCCCUUAAUGAGGAUCAAUUGGAGGGCAAGUCUGGUGCCAGCAGCCGCGGUAAUUCCAGCUCCAAUAGCGUAUAUUAAAGUUGUUGCAGUUAAAACGCUCGUAGUCGGAUUUCGGGGCGGUCCCGCCGGUCUGCCGAUGGGUACGCACUGGCGGGCGCGUCCUUCCUCCCGGAGACGGCCGCUACUCUUAACUGAGCGGUGGUCGGAGACGGGAUGUUUACUUUGAAAAAAUCAGAGUGUUUCAAGCAGGCAGUCGCUCUUGCAUGGAUUAGCAUGGGAUAAUGAAAUAGGACUCUGGUGCUAUUUUGUUGGUUUCGAGCACCGGAGUAAUGAUUAACAGGGACAGUCAGGGGCACUCGUAUUCCGCCGAGAGAGGUGAAAUUCUCAGACCAGCGGAAGACGAACGACUGCGAAAGCAUUUGCCAGGGAUGUUUUCACUGAUCAAGAACGAAAGUUAGGGGAUCGAAGACGAUCAGAUACCGUCCUAGUCUUAACCAUAAACUAUGCCGACUCGGGAUCGGGGGCGAGCAUUAUCCGUCUUCGGCACCGUAUGAGAAAUCAAAGUCUUUGG
rnacentral:rRNA from 1 species